AGUUAAUACUGCAUUGUGCAUUGGAAACUUGCGGAGAGUACAUUUCAUGCGCUCUCACCACUUACACAAAAUAGUAACUGUGAAGAGAUGUAUUAUGUUAAUUAGCUUGACUGUAGAAAUCAUUUCACUGUGUACAUGUAUCAAAACAUCAUGUUGUACACCUUAAAUAUAUAGUUUUUAUUUUUAAAACACUGUUUGGGAUUAAAAGCCCAGCUAAUUCUGCCUUAAUAUCUCAUUCUUAUCCACAAUGUCCACCCAUAAGAAAGACGCCCGAUACUCCGUGUAAACACACACUCCCCAUCUCCCAUACAAAUUUACCUUCUAGAGAGAGCCCUUUUCCCCAAACUCUCCUCUCAAAACACUCUGAAGCACAAGGUCUUUAGCCUAGUUAGACAUUUUCUGAAAAACUUAGUUUAACUCAGCGUAGAGACACCAUGAAUUUCAGAGACCCAGUCCUGGGCCUGCUUCAGUUGCUUUAGCCUAGAGUUUCAACUCCCAGGUCCCGGGGAGGGAUGCUCCAAGGAAGAAAUAGAGGCCCUAUUCCAGGGCUGUUUCUCGCAGACUAGCCACAGAAAAUGCAGCCCAGCGCCACUUCCUUUCAGUAGCAACACGUUUCCAACACGUUUGUUAAGCGGGAACGGAAGUGAGCGGAAAGGAAUGCGUUUGGUAAAUCCCACUUUAAGGAUUUCGUAAUCCUCCCAGGGAUUCCCACCACCCGCACUCCACUCGCAGACUGCGGGCCUUCCUCCGACGCUGGGAGAAGGACCCUGGGAGAGGCAAGGGAAGGGCUCCGGAACCAGCGCAGCAGCGGGACGCUAGCCCGCCCACACGGCGGCCACUUGAAGGACCGGUGGCUCCCGUGGAGACCGCAGCGGAACCCAGUCCGCCUUCGCACGCGUCCGGGGGAGAAGCGGCCCCAGGACUAAGGGCGCGCGCCCGAGGAACCGGUGCUGUGACGACCAGAGCAAACACGCCGGAUGUUCCUGUGUAGGCUGUCCUUUUUAGAACCAAGCAACGCCAAUUACCAACAAAAUCCGUUGCGCCGCAGUGAGUUAGCUACCUUCUAUCUCCACUUUGUUCUGCACGUCGAUCUCAGGUAAAGAACAUCAUCUCUUUACAUCCUUCUUUCCACUUUGUUCUUAGGAUCAUCGAUCAUCGUUCCUCGGGGAGCCCCUGGCACAUACUUAGUGCUAAGAAACUCCCAUCAGGUGAUAAGCAUUGAACUCCAUUUAAGGAAACUCAAAAGUGGGAAAUAGUAAAAGGUUCCUGUCUGAUUAAAGCUCUGAUUGGGAGGGGUGUGGGGGGACUGAUUUCUGACAACAGUGUCCCCUCCAGUAUUUUUCCCCCACUUAAUUUUACCCUGAUAAAAAUCAACAGUCAUGGAAGAUCUAGCAGCUUCUAUCAACUGAGAAACAGCACCUGGUGUCCUCAGGCAUUCAAUUACCUGGACUUGGAAAAGGAUGAGUGAUAAUAGACCCAGAAACCUGAAAUCUUUAGAACAGCAUUACAAGAAUAAGCAUAUUGUUGUGGCUGAGGUGGGUAGGAAGUAGAUAGGGAUUUUGACUUUAAAAUAGGCUUCCUCUCCCUAUGACACCUGCAGUUUGCCUGGACAUAGCUUUUAUCAUAUGCUUCCCAACUCUUCAGCAAGAGAGGGAAUUGAACUGAGUAAUUGGGAGUUGUUUUCCUAGCUAUAAAGAUUGCCACAAAUCUGAAAGCACAUGUGUCCCACUUGGGACACGGAGGUGAGUGGAAUUAAGCUGAGCACAGAUAACUCUCUCUUGAGAUCUGUAUUCCUAAAUGGGUCUUGCAUGUAUCUGGACAUUGUCCACUCACAGACUCUCUCCUGAGAAAGGUUAGCGAGGUCCCGUUCAGGAAUGCACCAGAUGAUAAUAAAGUGAACACCUUCUCACUUUGUAGCUCUUGCUAAGCCACUGGAGUACCUUAAAAGCUAUCAAAGCAUAAUCUUCAAAUAUAUAUAUAGUAACUAAUCACCAAAUAUUUAUUUAAGUCACUAAUGAGAAAAGGAGGAGUAUGGUAAACUGAUUGCAAUGGCAAUAGAAAAGGCUGGUAAAGGUAUAGUCAGUGGGGGAAAAAUAAUGCUGACAUGAGAUUGCAAGUUUAAGUAAAAAACUAGCUAAUGUCCUAUGAGGCAGUGAAAACUAUGGCCUUUGGGAUUAUUUUUAUCUAAAAGACAGAAACUAGUUGCAUCUUUACUGGGUAAAAAUCAUUCAAAACUUAAUAUUCUACAUAAUGACAUUUAACCUUGUAAUCUAUUUUCUAAUCAUUAGUAAAUAGUGACCUCCAAAAGUUCCAUUAACUUAGAGGAUUACUUGCCCCUUCAGUGGGCUUGUUAGACAAUGCUCUAGUAUUAUUUUGAAAGAGUACUAAUAUCUUUUUUUUUUGCCUUAUAUUAACUUUUGGAUAUUUUUUCUGAAUAGAUUUAGCACCUUAAUUCAAUUAUUUUAUCUCUGUUCCUGAUCAGUUGAAGGUAUUAUUGAGUGUCUUCAGACAGUGUUUAAAAAAUGGUGACCUUUGCCAUAAAGAAUUUUUGUGAACUGGCUUAAGCCAGUUUUGUGAUACACAACUUUGGGUGCUUUUGGUAGAUGUCUGUAGGCAGCUUACUUUAUAGUACUUUAUACUAUACCUUACUUUAUAGUAUAAAGUAAGGGAUAGUUAGCUACAACAUACCAACGAGUUAUAGUGAUAGAAGAUCUUCAACAAAAUUUUGUACAUAUAUAGUCAUUUAUUAGAAAGCAAGCAAAAAACAGUCAUAAAACCUGUUCUCUAAGCUCAAUGAAGUUCCCACGGUUUUGUCAUUUGUUUUUGUUGUUGUCAUUGUUGUUUUACUAACUUCAAAACUACCUUUCAUGAAAGCUUUGCUUGAGGCAAAUGCAACAAUAUUUCAGAGUGAGGAUUCAGCCAAACAUCUCUAAGAAGAAAACCUCUGGACACAGCAGGACACAGAAAUACUGAAAUCUCCAGCCUAGGGCACCAUCCCUCAAGUUAAAGGCUAGAACUCAUUUAAUUUUUAUUCCCUUUGAACAGUGUCUCUUAAAUAUUUAAUUCAUUUUGGGAACCGCUAAUUUACCCAGGGAGACUAUAUUUCUAAUAUUUUUUUCCCUUCACACCAUGGGAUCUUUGUUUCUAAUAUAUUAAUUAACUAAUUAACAAGGACAAAUUUCAUCAAAGAAAACCAGUAUCCAAUAUUCCAUUAUACUAAUUAUGGCAGCCUCUGGUGUUUAUCAAAAAUAAAGAAAACUGAAGUACUUUUGGUGGCCACUUCAGCAGUGUGGUUUUAUUAUGUUAAAUGACAAUCCUCCAGAUUGUGAUAUCAGGGCAAGGGACUGACUCUAGAAUCAUUUAAAAUCAUUUUAAUAUACACAUUCGUAUUAUACAGCACAGUUGAUUAAAUUAUUGCUCCUUCUCUAUAUCCACACCCUUUUUGUGGGUGGAGAGUUUGUCUUCACUUGUGGUAGACUGGAUUCCUGAAAAUGACUGAAACAGUAUCCCUCGUUCCCUUCUGCAAUGUGAGCUUGGCACCUCCUCAGCUAGAAGUAGAGUCUGUUUCCCUUCACCUUGAAUUUGGUUUGGGUUUGUAACUACUGUGAGCAAUGGAAUGCAGUAAAAAUAACAUUUUGUGAUUUCUCAGCCCAGGCAGUAAGAAAACAUAUCAGCUUCCACUUUUACCUUUAAGGAGAAGCCAGCUCCCAUGUUAAGAAGUUCAAAUACCUAGAGACUGCGAUGGUUUGCAGAGGCUCAAGCUAACCACAUGGAAAGACAUGGAGAGAUAUUCCUUGCCAACCCUCAACUACUCCAACUAUUCUAAGACAUCAAACCUAAAAACAAACCGCAGGUCACCCACCGGUCUGAAGAGGAGGAUGAGAGACAAAGAAAAAAGUUGUCUGGCUGCCUCUGCUGUCUACAGAUUGAAGAAGAUCCAUCCAGCUGAGCCCAGCCUAGACCAGCUGACUUCUCCAAUAAGCCUGUAUGAAAUAAAUGCUUAUUGUUAUGUGACCUUGAGCUUUGAAGAUAGUUUGUUAUGCAAUAAUUGUUGAUUCUUUCACCCUGUCUUUGUUGAACUGUUAUAGACGUCUUAAUAGGAGUUCACAAUUCAG
rnacentral:lncRNA from 10 species